GUCUGUGGUGGGUACGGAGCAGAGCGCAGGUCCAUCUUCAGGGGGUCAGGUCAAGGUCAAGAUGGUGCCCUUGGCAUAAAUGACGAGAGUGGCUGGCUCUCAAUGCCUGGUUUCUCAGGUAAGAGCCAAGCCUCAUAUACCCGGCUGCAGGCUGGCUUGGGGACUGUCGUACCAGACCAUCGGCGUGGUGGAACUUUCCGAUCAGCAGAACACUGCCCCAAGACCAUAUCUGGACUUAAACCUCAGGCAUCACCAGGCACCACCAGGCAGCAUGGCAGAGAUAUUUGAGGCACACAAAGCAGACCGUACGACGGAUACAUUAAGUGGAAUCCAGACUCCAUGAGUUAUCUGUCGAUGGUAGUCUCCCUAAGUCAAUCAUGGUACAGCCAGGUCCAUGAGCAACCUGCAAGUGCGAGGCCAUCUUCAGACUCUGUAAGAGGCAUCUGCAGUAAAGGCUGGCCAGCAGGAGCCUCUGGGAGUUUCCUGAGUGUGGGCAGACAGUCUGGAUUUAGGAGUCAUUUCCUGUGCUCGUGAGACUCAUUGGAUAUACAAAGUGAACCACCAGGCACUAUUCUGGAUCUGUCAUUAACUAUGCAAUUUUGGUCACAUUUUCUGAGUACCCUCAGCCUCCACCCCAUCUUUGAACCAAUAAACAGUAGCAGCCUA